AGCGAACGCUGGCGGCAGGCCUAACACAUGCAAGUCGAACGAACUCUUCGGAGUUAGUGGCGGACGGGUGAGUAACACGUGGGAACGUGCCUUUAGGUUCGGAAUAACUCAGGGAAACUUGUGCUAAUACCGAAUGUGCCCUUCGGGGGAAAGAUUUAUCGCCUUUAGAGCGGCCCGCGUCUGAUUAGCUAGUUGGUGAGGUAACGGCUCACCAAGGCGACGAUCAGUAGCUGGUCUGAGAGGAUGGCCAGCCACACUGGGACUGAGACACGGCCCAGACUGCGACGGGAGGCAGCAGUGGGGACUCUUGCGCAAUGGGCGAAAGCCUGACGCAGCCAUGCCGCGUGAAUGAUGAAGGUCUUAGGAUUGUAAAAUUCUUUCACCGGGGACGAUAAUGACGGUACCCGGAGAAGAAGCCCCGGCUAACUUCGUGCCAGCCGCCGCCGUAA
rnacentral:rRNA from 1 species